UUAAGGGCGCACGGUGGAUGCCUUGGCACUAGAAGCCGAUGAAGGACGUUACUAACGACGAUAUGCUUUGGGGAGCUGUAAGUAAGCUUUGAUCCAGAGAUUUCCGAAUGGGGAAACCCAGCAUGAGUUAUGUCAUGUUAUCGAUAUGUGAAUACAUAGCAUAUCAGAAGGCACACCCGGAGAACUGAAACAUCUUAGUACCCGGAGGAAGAAAAAGAAAAUUCGAUUCCCUUAGUAGCGGCGAGCGAAACGGGAAGAGCCCAAACCAACAAACUUGCUUGUUGGGGUUGUAGGACACUCUAUACGGAGUUACAAAGGACGACAUUAGACGAAUCAUCUGGAAAGAUGAAUCAAAGAAGGUAAUAAUCCUGUAGUCGAAAAUGUUGUCUCUCUUGAGUGGAUCCUGAGUACGACGGAACACGUGAAAUUCCGUCGGAAUCUGGGAGGACCAUCUCCUAAGGCUAAAUACUCUCUAGUGACCGAUAGUGAACCAGUACCGUGAGGGAAAGGUGAAAAGCACCCCGGAAGGGGAGUGAAAUAGAACCUGAAACCGUGUGCUUACAAGUAGUCAGAGCCCGUUAAUGGGUGAUGGCGUGCCUUUUGUAGAAUGAACCGGCGAGUUACGAUUUGAUGCAAGGUUAAGCAGUAAAUGUGGAGCCGUAGCGAAAGCGAGUCUGAAUAGGGCGUUUAGUAUUUGGUCGUAGACCCGAAACCAGGUGAUCUACCCUUGGUCAGGUUGAAGUUCAGGUAACACUGAAUGGAGGACCGAACCGACUUACGUUGAAAAGUGAGCGGAUGAACUGAGGGUAGCGGAGAAAUUCCAAUCGAACCUGGAGAUAGCUGGUUCUCUCCGAAAUAGCUUUAGGGCUAGCCUCAAGUGAUGAUUAUUGGAGGUAGAGCACUGUUUGGACGAGGGGCCCCUCUCGGGUUACCGAAUUCAGACAAACUCCGAAUGCCAAUUAAUUUAACUUGGGAGUCAGAACAUGGGUGAUAAGGUCCGUGUUCGAAAGGGAAACAGCCCAGACCACCAGCUAAGGUCCCAAAAUAUAUGUUAAGUGGAAAAGGAUGUGGCGUUGCCCAGACAACUAGGAUGUUGGCUUAGAAGCAGCCAUCAUUUAAAGAGUGCGUAAUAGCUCACUAGUCGAGUGACACUGCGCCGAAAAUGUACCGGGGCUAAACAUAUUACCGAAGCUGUGGAUUGUCCUUUGGACAAUGGUAGGAGAGCGUUCUAAGGGCGUUGAAGCAUGAUCGUAAGGACAUGUGGAGCGCUUAGAAGUGAGAAUGCCGGUGUGAGUAGCGAAAGACGGGUGAGAAUCCCGUCCACCGAUUGACUAAGGUUUCCAGAGGAAGGCUCGUCCGCUCUGGGUUAGUCGGGUCCUAAGCUGAGGCCGACAGGCGUAGGCGAUGGAUAACAGGUUGAUAUUCCUGUACCACCUAUAAUCGUUUUAAUCGAUGGGGGGACGCAGUAGGAUAGGCGAAGCGUGCGAUUGGAUUGCACGUCUAAGCAGUAAGGCUGAGUAUUAGGCAAAUCCGGUACUCGUUAAGGCUGAGCUGUGAUGGGGAGAAGACAUUGAGUCUUCGAGUCGUUGAUUUCACACUGCCGAGAAAAGCCUCUAGAUAGAAAAUAGGUGCCCGUACCGCAAACCGACACAGGUAGUCAAGAUGAGAAUUCUAAGGUGAGCGAGCGAACUCUCGUUAAGGAACUCGGCAAAAUGACCCCGUAACUUCGGGAGAAGGGGUGCUCUUUAGGGUUAACGCCCAGAAGAGCCGCAGUGAAUAGGCCCAAGCGACUGUUUAUCAAAAACACAGGUCUCUGCUAAACCGUAAGGUGAUGUAUAGGGGCUGACGCCUGCCCGGUGCUGGAAGGUUAAGAGGAGUGGUUAGCUUCUGCGAAGCUACGAAUCGAAGCCCCAGUAAACGGCGGCCGUAACUAUAACGGUCCUAAGGUAGCGAAAUUCCUUGUCGGGUAAGUUCCGACCCGCACGAAAGGCGUAACGAUUUGGGCACUGUCUCAACGAGAGACUCGGUGAAAUCAUAGUACCUGUGAAGAUGCAGGUUACCCGCGACAGGACGGAAAGACCCCGUGGAGCUUUACUGUAGCCUGAUAUUGAAAUUCGGCACAGCUUGUACAGGAUAGGUAGGAGCCUUUGAAACGUGAGCGCUAGCUUACGUGGAGGCGCUGGUGGGAUACUACCCUAGCUGUGUUGGCUUUCUAACCCGCACCACUUAUCGUGGUGGGAGACAGUGUCAGGCGGGCAGUUUGACUGGGGCGGUCGCCUCCUAAAAGGUAACGGAGGCGCUCAAAGGUUCCCUCAGAAUGGUUGGAAAUCAUUCAUAGAGUGUAAAGGCAUAAGGGAGCUUGACUGCGAGACCUACAAGUCGAGCAGGGUCGAAAGACGGACUUAGUGAUCCGGUGGUUCCGCAUGGAAGGGCCAUCGCUCAACGGAUAAAAGCUACCCCGGGGAUAACAGGCUUAUCUCCCCCAAGAGUUCACAUCGACGGGGAGGUUUGGCACCUCGAUGUCGGCUCAUCGCAUCCUGGGGCUGUAGUCGGUCCCAAGGGUUGGGCUGUUCGCCCAUUAAAGCGGUACGCGAGCUGGGUUCAGAACGUCGUGAGACAGUUCGGUCCCUAUCCGUCGUGGGCGUAGGAAAUUUGAGAGGAGCUGUCCUUAGUACGAGAGGACCGGGAUGGACAUACCUCUGGUGUACCAGUUGUCGUGCCAACGGCAUAGCUGGGUAGCUAUGUGUGGACGGGAUAAGUGCUGAAAGCAUCUAAGCAUGAAGCCCCCCUCAAGAUGAGAUUUCCCAACUUCGGUUAUAAGAUCCCUCAAAGAUGAUGAGGUUAAUAGGUUCGAGGUGGAAGCAUGGUGACAUGUGGAGCUGACGAAUACUAAUCGAUCGAAGACUUAAUC
rnacentral:rRNA from 1 species